rnacentral:rRNA from 1 species
CAAGUCGAACGAAGUAGCAAUACUUAGUGGCGAACGGGUGAGUAUAAUGCGGGUAUCUGCCUUUUGGUUUGGAAUAACACGGGGAAACUUGUGCUAAUACCGGAUAAGCCUUCACAGGGAAAGUUUUAACGCCAAAAGAUGAGCCCACACUUGAUUAGCUAGUUGGUAAGGUAAUGGCUUACCAAGGCUACGAUCAAUAGCUGAUCUGAGAGGAUGAUCAGCCACAUUGGGACUGAGACACGGCCCAAACUCCUACGGGAGGCAGCAGUGGGGAAUCUUGCACAAUGGGGGAAACCCUGAUGCAGCGAUGCCGCGUGAGUGAAGAAGGCCUUUGGGUUGUAAAGCUCUUUCGUCGGGGAAGAAAAUGACUGUACCCGAAUAAGAAGGUCCGGCUAACUUCGUGCCAGCAGCCGCGGUAAUACGAAGGGACCUAGCGUAGUUCGGAAUUACUGGGCUUAAAGAGCUCGUAGGUGGUUGGAAAAGUUGGUGGUGAAAUCCCAAGGCUUAACCUUGGAACUGCCACCAAAACUUUUUGACUAGAGUAUGAUAGAGGAAAGUGGAAUUUCUAGUGUAGAGGUGAAAUUCGUAGAUAUUAGAAAGAACACCAAUUGCGAAGGCAACUUUCUGGAUCAUUACUGACACUGAGGAGCGAAAGCAUGGGUAGCGAAGAGGAUUAGAUACCCUCGUAGUCCAUGCCGUAAACGAUGUGUGCUAGACGUUGGAAACUUAGUUUUCAGUGUCGCAGCAAAAGCGUUAAGCACACCGCCUGGGAGUACGACCGCAAGGUUAAAACUCAAAUGAAUUGACGGGACCCGCACAAGUAGUGGAGCAUGUGUUUAAUUCGGAGAUACGCGCAGAACCUUACCAACACUUGACAUGUUCGUCGCGACUCUAAGAGAUUAGAGUUUUCGGUUCGGCCGGACGAAACACAGGUGCUGCAUGCUGUCGUCAGCUCGUGUCGUGAGAUGUUCGUUAAGUCCGGCAACGAGCGCAACCACAUCCUUAGUGCAGCAGUUCGCUGGCACUCUAAGAAACUGCCCGUGAUAAGCGGGGAGAAGUGUGAAUGACGUCAGUCUCAUGCCUUACGGUGCUACCACGUGCUAAAUGCAGGACAUGUAUCCAAGCUUCUCAGUUCGAAUGGGUUGCACUCGACCAUUGAGUCGGAUCGUGAUCUGGAAGCAGGCACGGGUAAAUCUUCGGCUGAACCCGCCGUCCACAUGGGAGUGUUUCCUCCACAGGCCGCUGC